UACAGAGGGUGCAAGCGUUAAUCGGAAUUACUGGGCGUAAAGCGAGCGUAGUCGGUUAUUUAAGUCGGAUGUGAAAGCCCCGGGCUCAACCUGGGAAUUGCGGUUGAAACUGGCGAACUAGAAUCUGGCAGAGGGGGGUGGAAUUCCACGUGUAGCGGUGAAAUGCGUAGAGAUGUGGAGGAACACCGAUGGCGAAGGCAGCCCCCUGGGCUGAGAUUGACGCUCAGGCACGAAAGCGUGGGGAGCAAACAGG
rnacentral:rRNA from 1 species